rnacentral:rRNA from 1 species
GUUUAACGGCCGCGGUAUUUUAACCGUGCGAAGGUAGCGCAAUCACUUGUCUCUUAAAUAGAGACCUGUAUGAAUGGCUCAACGAGGGCUUAACUGUCUCCUUUUUCCUGUCAAUGAAAUUGAUCUCCCCGUGCAGAAGCGGGGAUAACACCAUAAGACGAGAAGACCCUAUGAAGCUUUAGACCCUAAAAGAGACUAUGUUUAUUACCCUGUUAUUAGCGGAUGAAACUCAAUAGUUACUCUCCUAGUGUCUUUGGUUGGGGCGACCGCGGGGAAAUAAAUAACCCCCAUGUGGAAAGGGAGGACUAACCCUCCUACAACCCAGAGCUACAGCUCGAAGUAACAAAAUUUUUGACCUAAAUGAUCCGGCAAAGCCGAUCAACGAACCGAGUUACUCUAGGGAUAACAGCGCAAUCCUCUUUUAGAGCCCAUAUCGACAAGGGGGUUUACGACCUCGAUGUUGGAUCAGGACAUCCUAAUGGUGCAGCCGCUAUUAAGGGU